rnacentral:ncRNA from 2 species
GCUAACUGCAACGGUCAUGGUUGUCCCGGGGCCGACUCGGGGAUGAAAAGGGAAGCCGGUGAAAAGCCGGCACUGCCCCCGCAGCUGUAAGCGGAGAGCGACGCCGGAUCACCACUGGGGCCACGCGCCCCGGGAAGGCCGGCCAAGCCGAGACCCGCAAGUCAGAAGACCUGCCAUGACGCGAAAGGACGA